rnacentral:rRNA from 1 species
AGGACGAACGCUGGCGGCGUGCUUAACACAUGCAAGUCGAGCGGAAAGGCCCUUCGGGGUACUCGAGCGGCGAACGGGUGAGUAACACGUGAGUAAUCUGCCCCUAGCUCUGGGAUAGCUCCGGGAAACCGGGAUUAAUACCAGAUACGACCACUUUAGACAUCUUCUGUGGUGGAAAGAACUUCGGCUAGGGAUGAACUCGCGGCCUAUCAGCUUGUUGGUGAGGUAACGGCUCACCAAGGCGACGACGGGUAGCCGGCCUGAGAGGGCGACCGGCCACACUGGGACUGAGACACGGCCCAGACUCCUACGGGAGGCAGCAGUGGGGAAUAUUGCGCAAUGGGCGAAAGCCUGACGCAGCGACGCCGCGUGGGGGAUGAAGGCCUUCGGUUGUAAACCCCUUUCAGCAGGGACGAAGCGAAAGUGACGGUACCUGCAGAAGAAGCGCCGGCUAACUACGUGCCAGCAGCCGC